rnacentral:rRNA from 1 species
UACGUAGGGUGCAAGCGUUUGUCCGGAAUUAUUGGGCGUAAAGAGCUCGUAGGCGGUCUGUCGCGUCGAAUGUGAAAACACGAGGCUCAACUUCGUGCCUGCAUUCGAUACGGGCAGACUAGAGUUCGGUAGGGGAGUCUGGAAUUCCUGGUGUAGCGGUGAAAUGCGCAGAUAUCAGGAGGAACACCGGUGGCGAAGGCGGGACUCUGGGCCGAUACUGACGUGAGGAGCGAAAGCGUGGGGAGCAAACAGG